rnacentral:misc_RNA from 1 species
UUGAAGACAAUGAAGACUAUUCCGAUGUUGCGAGUCCGUUAUUCAAAAUGCAGGUUAAAUGUGGCCAGUGCUUACAUUCCACAAUUCACUCCAAGACGUAAUUUGACUGAAACAACUGCUGCUGAGAAUACCUCAGAUUAUCUCCCAAUAUCUAUUGCACAAAAUUUUCUAGAAACUGUACAUGAUUACACUCAUCUGCCAUGGUGGUGUACAAUAGUGGUAACUUGCAUUGGACUACGGUCUGUCAUUACAUUGCCAUUGGCUGUACAUCAAAAUAAACUGCUCACAAAGAUAGAAUUACUGCAACCUACCUUGAAAGAAUUAACAGAGGCUUUAAAACAUCGAGUUACCAUUGAAUGUAGAAAUAAAGGAAUGUCAUCACAGGCUGCUAAUAACAUAUUUAAGAGGAAGCUGCGAAAAUAUACCUAUAAUCUGUACAGUACAAAUGGAUGUAAUCCUAUCAAGCUUUAUACUCUACCCUGGGCACAAAUACCAUUAUGGAUAAUUUUAUCAUUGGCAUUAAGAAAUCUUAGUGGAACCUUUAGGUGGGAUUCAAAAGGUGAGAAUCCAUUCCCACCACAUCCAGAUAUGUCAAAAGAAGGCACUCUGUGGUUUUCAGAUCUCACAGUACCAGAUUACACGGGAAUACUGCCGGUAUUUCUGGGCAUAGCAAAUCUUGCAAACAUUGAGCUCCAUUCACUCAAAAAGAAGAAUCCUGCUUUAAAACAACGAACGAUCACUAUGUUAUUCCGAUUAUUGUCUCUAUGCAUGAUUGCUGUUGCCCUCAAAGUACCCGCGGCCAUGUCGUUGUAUUGGAGUGCAUCAGCCGGCUUUGGACUUCUUCAGAAUAUAUCUUUAAAGUUCCCUCGCGUGCGCAGAAUUCUUCGUAUUCCUAAGACUCCAUCAGAGAGUGCGAUGCCUUUCAAAGAUAUCGCCUCGAUUAUUGCUGGUCGCGCUAAGAAAUUUCUAGAAAUCCAAAGAGAAAACAUGAAAAAGAAAUAGUUCAUGGCAAUGUCGAAAGCAGCGACGUUUUUGACACUUAUGGAAGUCAAGCGGAAGCAACAAGAAUGGUCCAGUUUCUAAAUAAUACAUUUAACACAAAGAAAUUGAUCCUGGCAGCCAUAAAUGAUGAAGGUUCAGACAAAAUGACACAAGAUGCAUACAACGCACUCUCUAAAGUCGCAGGAGAAAGCAUUGCAACAUUAAGUUUUCGAAGUUCAUUUGCCAUGAUUGGUUUUUCAGACAAACAAAAACCUUCUUUCGUAAAACAUAUGCAAAGAGUUGCAGGACGUGGACCAUGCGUCUUUCAAGAAACAAUCGAAAUUUAAAUCAAUAUAUAGUCAUAGUUCAUGCAUGAUCAUCAGAUAACUGAUCACGAUCGAAUUUAUUGAUCGCCUUCCGACUUUCCAGGCCGAAACAAAGAUAAUAGUAAACAGUCAAAAAUUGUAAUGUCUUCAUUGUAAAUCUAGAUCUUAAUCAUCCACUAUAUUCUAAUAGCACUGACUGAACACGAUUCAUAUAAUUGCGAGGGAUUUCCUUAGUUAGUAUAUUUUGCUAAAUCCAUGAAAUAAUCUGAGCAUGCAGUCGUAAUUUAAAGAUGAUAUUUCACAUAUCGCACUUAAUUUAGAUUAGAUAAUUUCUCUCAG